rnacentral:rRNA from 1 species
CGUAACAAGGUAGCUGUAGGUGAACCUGCAGCUGGAUCACUA